rnacentral:lncRNA from 1 species
AUGGUGGUUAGUAAUACACCCAACAGUCAUACGAGACAGAACUUACUCAUCGACAGAACUUACUUUCUCGCAAGACUGAUUGGAGAGGUUGUGUGGAGGGCUCUGAUUGGAGAGGUUGUGUGGAGGGCUCUGAUUGGAGAGGUUGUGUGGAGGGCUCUGAUCGGAGAGGUUGUGUGGAGGGCUCUGAUCGGAGAGGUUGUGUGGAGGGCUCUGAUCGGAGAGGUUGUGUGGAGGGCUCUGAUCGGAGAGGGUUGUGUGGAGGGCUCUGAUCGGAGAGGUUGUGUGGAGGCUCUGAUCGGGAGAGGUUGUUGGAGGGGCUCUGAUUGGGGGUUCUGUGGAGGGCUCUGCUGA